CAGACGCAGGCUCUCACUGACAAGUUGGUGGGGGUGAGGUUUCUUGCAUUAGUACAUUGACGCGUACAUGUUUUUCUGUUGGCUACAUACAGGAGUUCUCUAAACGAUGCUGUUUUCCUGCAUAGUUUUCAAUCCAGUCUGCAUUGAAACCUGUCAUUCCCAACAAUGUCAUCAUUUCGCUGACUGUCCGUGGGCUUGGAGCUUUGCUAACACCUUCCAGUUGAGAAGGUGAAAUGCUAACUCUUCCUUGAGAGGUCCUUUUGUCUCUCCUCGGGCGGGGGAGAGAGGGAGAGGAGGGGCAACGCUCCGGGAGGAGGGAGUGAAAAGUGUUGUGUGUGUGGCUCUCCUUGCCUGCGUAGAGCUGUAUGUGUGGUUCCUCUGCCUGAGGAGAACUUAAUGUGUGUGCAAGAUUUUCCUUCGGGCGGGGGAGAGAGCUACU